rnacentral:rRNA from 1 species
UGCGCAGGCGGCUUAUUAAGUCAGUGGUGAAAUCUCUCGGCUCAACCGAGAAACUGCCAUUGAAACUGAUAAGCCUGAGUGUAGUUGUAGUAGGCGGAAUAUAGCAUGUAGCGGUGAAAUGCUUAGAUAUGCUAUAGAACACCGAUCGCGAAGGCAGCUUACUAAACUAUUACUGACGCUCAUGCACGAAAGCGUGGGGAGCAAACAGGAUUAGAUACCCUGGUAGUC